CGGGUGAGUAACGCGUGGGAAUCUGCCCUCAGGAGGGGGAUAACGGCUGGAAACGGCCGCUAAUACCCCAUAUGCCGAGAGGUGAAAUGAAUUUCGCCUGAGGAUGAGCCCGCGUCUGAUUAGCUAGUUGGUGAGGUAAGAGCUCACCAAGGCAUCGAUCAGUAGCUGGUCUGAGAGGAUGAUCAGCCACACUGGGACUGAGACACGGCCCAGACUCCUACGGGAGGCAGCAGUGGGGAAUUUUCCGCAAUGGGCGAAAGCCUGACGGAGCAACGCCGCGUGAGGGAUGAAGGCCUCUGGGCUGUAAACCUCUUUUCUCAAGGAAGAAGAUCUGACGGUACUUGAGGAAUAAGCCACGGCUAAUUCC
rnacentral:rRNA from 1 species